AUUGAACGCUGGCGGCAGGCUUAACACAUGCAAGUCGAGCGGGGGAAGGUAGCUUGCUACUGGACCUAGCGGCGGACGGGUGAGUAAUGCUUAGGAAUCUGCCUCUUAGUGGGGGACAACAUCUCGAAAGGGAUGCUAAUACCGCAUACGUCCUACGGGAGAAAGCAGGGGAUCUUCGGACCUUGCGCUACUAGAUGAGCCUAAGUCGGAUUAGCUAGUUGGUGGGGUAAAGGCCUACCAAGGCGACGAUCUGUAGCGGGUCUGAGAGGAUGAUCCGCCACACUGGGACUGAGACACGGCCCAGACUCCUACGGGAGGCAGCAGUGGGGAAUAUUGGACAAUGGGGGGAACCCUGAUCCAGCCAUGCCGCGUGUGUGAAGAAGGCCUUAUGGUUGUAAAGCACUUUAAGCGAGGAGGAGGCUACUUUAGUUAAUACCUAGAGAUAGUGGACGUUACUCGCAGAAUAAGCACCGGCUAACUCUGUGCCAGCAGCCGCGGUAAAAC
rnacentral:rRNA from 1 species